UCGCUAUAAAUGGGGCUCUCAUAAAUAUUAUAAAGUUUAUCAAUGUAUUAUUUAAUAUCACUCAUGCAAAGUCGUAUAAUUUUAUGUUAUAACACACGAAAUAUAUAUCGAAACACGAAAUGCAUUCGGAAACGUCGGCAGUUUCCGAAUCGUGCCUUUCCAUUUUAUCAUAAUUAUGAUAAUGGCGCUUGGUUCGCCAGUUUAGAAAGACCUGUAAAUUGAUACAGUGUGCCGUAUUGACGAUGGCACAGCCAGGAAAUCGUGCGCCGUCCAUGGCUCUCUGGUUUAACGAUAAUGUGGAAGGAGAUAUUCUCAUGCAUGAUGUGUGUGUACCCAGGUCAGGCCUUACCAAGUACACGUAUUACUGCUGUCUGCAGGUAAUCAUAUCUGUGGAACGCUGGAAAGGAAGGAGGCGGUUACUGUGGGAUUCAGGACCACCCUGACGGACGUAACUUCAUAUUCUCCAUCUGGGACCCAUGCGACCCUAAACUGAAAUCCAAGAUUAAACCAGUCUAUGAGGGUCCCGGUACAAAGUGCGAACGCUUUGGAGGUGAGGGAGAGGGCUUAAAAACCUGGAACUUCUUUCUGGGAUGGGAACCCGACUGUUGGUAUACAACCAUGGUCAAACGCUGGGAUCACAGUGGCCACACACAGUUUGGCUUCUGGGUUAAGCAUCACGUGGAACAAACGUGGACCCAUAUGGUUACUCUGGACUACCCUGUCAAAAACGUGUAUUUCCAGAAUGCAACGGCCUGCUUUUUAGAAGACUGGGAAGGUAGCGGGGAAAAUGAGCGCCGUGUAAACUUUCGAAAUGGAUUCAAGCACACUCUAAAUGGCGAUUGGGUACCUUUCAGUAGAGCAGAUUUCCGCGUCGUGCGUGAGCUGUCCAGUAAAAAGUACGAGGACAAUUACAACUGCGGAGUCGAGGAUCGCACCUUCUUCAUGCAGUCCGGUGGAAAUACGGUAAAGUCGGCUUCGGCAGACGACAGAUGUAAGCUUCAGUGGACUAUGCCAUCGUAGCCUUGAGCAAACAUAUUAUGCUGAAGGAAGCUAUAUGGAUUCAAUAUUUAAUAUGUACAGCUUGUACAAUUUUUAUUUAGUCAAUUUGCCCAGAUAUAAGCACACCCAAAACAAUCAGAAAGCAUCGAAGUGUUAAAAUAUGGACACUAAUCAGGAAAAUCGUUUCCUAUAUUUUACUUGUCCUAAACUAUGCCUCUUGUAUCUCGGGCUUUGCCUGUUAGUUCAUUCAAGCUGUAUUUUCUGCUUCAUUGCUAGACAGAUUUCAAAAACUUUAAAAUAAUACCCGGGUGAACCUUAUUCAAAAUUAUUCCAAACUUUCUACUACACUGCUCAGUAUAUCUUGGAAUAUAACAUCAGAUAAUGAUAUUCUAAAACAUUAUUCAAAACAUGUCCGCAUAGUAACACCUGCUUACGCCAUAUGUUUAAAUUUUGAUCCUGAAAUUAUAUGUUUGGUAUAUUGUAUCGUAUUAUUAUGCCCCCCUUCGAAGAAGAGGGGGUAUAUUGUUUUGCACAUGUCGGUCGGUCGGUCAGUCGGUCCGUCAGUCCGUCCACCAGAUGGUUUGCGGAUGAUAAUUCAAGAACGCUUAGGCCUAGGAUCAUGAAACUUCAUAGGUACAUUGAUCAUGACUGGCAGAUGACCCCUAUUGAUUUUCAGGUCACUAAGUCAAAGGUCAAGGUCACAGUGACUAGAAAUAGUAAAAUGGUUUCCGGGUGAUGACUCAAGAAUGCUUUUGCCUAGGAUCAUGAACCUUCAUAGGUAAAUUGAUCAUGACUGGCAAAUGAAAUAUCUGUAAACAAAGUCCUUGAUGGUAAUGAUUGAAAACAUAAUAUGCAAUACAUCGAACAUAUAAGUCAUUGCAAUUGGUCAGGCUGACAAAAAGGGUGGUCCGGAUUCAUAUGAUACGGUUAUCAGAUUUCUCACCUACCUUCGAAAUGUGAUCCGAGUAAUAAUGAUAAGUCAACACUUUUCUCACGGUUGUUUACCAAAUAGUUGUUUUGACCUACAGCGUUUUUAAACGUGUAUAAAAAUUAACGUUUCACUUGUCCCUUGCUUUUAACUUUAUAAUGGUAAAUGUUAAAUGGCCAUUGUUCUGUGGCAAAUAUAUUUCGAUGAUUACUCUUCAAAUCUAAAAUGUUAAUUGGUCUGUUUUUGUGAAAAACAACCGCUUUAUGUAAAUGCUAGAAUAAAACAUCAUUUGUUUGUAUAUGUCAGUUUAAAUCAAAUGAAUUAUUUACAUAAUCAUAUGGGAUUAAAUGGUAUGUAUUACCCACCGUAAUGUAAAUAACAACUGACCAUUCCAACGAGUUAUAUACAGAAAUAUUAUGUUUACAAGUAUCGAGCAACUAAGUGCUAACACAAUACAUGAUUGAAGAUUUCAUUCUAAAAUACAUGCCUUGCACAAAGGUAAACUGUAAACAGCAAGUGAUUUAAUUUUAUCCUGAUACAAGUAAUAUAUAUAUUUAAAUAUGUUGAUGUCAUGUUUUAUAUGGUUUUUACAUUCGCACCACUAUUUCGUCUACAUUUGCAAUCUUACAUUUUCUUUAUAAGUUGUGUGUUGUGUGAUUAUUUAAAGAUUUAAUUAAUUAAAGUAUUACGAAAAGAA